CACUUUUUCUUUGGUCAUUUUAGCUUUUUUUCGCCAGGGUAAAGGGAGUAUCUGCCAUCAAACAAGAAAACAGCCGCAUGUAACUACACUCAAAAAAAUGAAUGAGGUGGCAGUAAUGCAAAAACAGUUGUAAUGAAACCGCGAAGAACAACAAGGUUUCAUGGCUUGGGCCUGCUCAUGCGCAAGACUUCAAAUUUAACUUAAAAACGUUUUUUUGGCGCCAAGCUGCUGUUUCUUUGAGAGAUCCUGCCUUUACCUGCCCCCUCCUAUACUGAUGUGGUGUAUGUGGUACUGCUGAGCUUGUAUGUGGUGGAAGCAGAAUUUGUGAGGAUUACUACUGCUCCACUUGACCAAUACACUGACCAGCUCAUAAAAGUCUUCAAGAAAAAAGGAGGUGCUGCAGUGAAGAAAAUUAGACAAACUUUGGCCCCUGCCACACAGAAGCAAACUAUUGAAAAGGGGAGGGAGUGUGUCCUCAGGGCACUACCUUUUUACCUGAAUGAAGACCCAAGCAUCCUCUUCAAAGAAUAACUGCUACAGCUACAGCUGUUCAGAGGGAGCUGGAACAAAUUACCCUUGCUAUCUUUACCAUCGAAAGAGCUGAUACCUCCAGCCGAUGUGGGUAUAACCAUCUAGGGUGUUCUGCAUGACCUGGAAGACAUGCCCUCUGCAUGUGCACUCUUAAUGGGUGGGAUAUAUGCACUGAAUCUCAGUUAACCUCGAGACUUAAAGCUUUCUUUGAAGUACUUCAGAAGCUCUUCCUUCAUCUGGAUGUCAGCAGACUCUUGACCAAGGUAGAGAUGCUCAAGAAUAAAUUGAAUGAAUAAGCCAACCCUUAAUUUGGAUGUUGAAUGUUCUGUCAGAUGGACAGAAGUUUUUCGGAGGCUGAAUGGGAAUAAAAUGGUAAUUUGUUGAAAAUGACAGAUAAAGGGAAAAUUACACUUAAGAGAAAUUUUGAAAAGUUUGUAAACUACUACAAUUUGACAGAUUUUACUCUUGUGUUACAUUUUGUGCAUUGUAAAGGUAAUUGCAAUACAUACUAAGAAUAACGGUAAGUUAGGAAUGCAGGAUGAAUGUAUAUUUUGCGGACUUUUAAAGACGAACAAUUGUUUCCAUGUUAAAAUGUUUACAACUCAAGUUUUUUGCCCAAACACUGGUAAAAUAAACGUUGACAGUGGCAAGUGUUAAAUGGUUACUGUUGUGCUGUUGCAAAAAACCUGAACGCUGACAAGGUGUUUUAUUGUUAGACAAUAAUGCUGGCAUGUUUUAUUAAAGUUUUAUUUGGGAUGGUGAUAUAAUUUUCUUUGAUUGCUAAUAUCAGUGGACUGUUUAUUAUUAUUAUUAUUAUUAUCAUUAUUACAUUAUUUUUUUAAUUGUGGCCGUUGAGGUACACACUUCACUUUGCAUGUGUUACUGGACUGACCCUAAGCAACCAUUGCAAAUAGCAACUUUGCUAUUCAUUUUAGACACUAGAAGAAAAAGCACUCCACAGACCUUACUAGCAUCACAUGUGCAUAACUCAAGUGUCAUCUUAUCAACAUGUUAUGUAGUCUUCAAUGUUUUUUUUUCUUCUAUUUCUGGCAGAUACAGACAUUUAAUUUAAAGUAUUGAUGUUGCAUCUGUCUAUAUACUGUUAAUUACUAACCCUAAUGAGCUGUUGUAUUUCAUUUUGGACUGGG
ensembl:lncRNA